GACAGAGGGUGCAAACGUUGCUCGGAAUCACUGGGCGUAAAGGGUGUGUAGGCGGGAAGGUAAGUCGGGCGUGAAAUCCCUGAGCUCAACUCAGGAACUGCACUCGAAACUACUUUUCUUGAGUGCCGGAGAGGAAAGCGGAAUACCUGGUGUAGAGGUGAAAUUCGUAGAUAUCAGGUGGAACACCAGUGGCGAAGGCGGCUUUCUGGACGGUAACUGACGCUGAGACGCGAAAGCGUGGGGAGCAAACAGG
rnacentral:rRNA from 1 species